UAUACAAAGCUAUCUGGGACUCAAGAUGUAACAGAAAUUGAGUCUACCACAGCUGCAAUUACAACCAAAGAAAUCUGAUAAAACCUAGGUUUGAAAAAAGCCAGAAUUGUAAUAUGAUCAGCUCUAGCCUUUUGUUACGAGUUUCAUAUUGUUUUUUGUUUUUCAAGUGUCAGUUCCUGGAAUCACGAUUAUAUUACACCUUCAGCUUAAAAAUAUACCUGCACUCUUCUUAGGGAAGGCCUUUCCACUCCUCUUCAUCCAGCUGUUUGGAGAGAAGUGGCUGCGCUCUGAAAGGGAGGAUGGAGCAGCUCACCAGGCACCCAGGAAGUAUCCAAAAUUGGGCAGAAAAGGAAGAGAGUCAUUCCAAACUCAGUAGUAGCUGAACCAUUGUGCAUCUGCAAGGCAGCCUUGAGUAAGUGAGGAGUUACUGCCUCUCACGGAGGCAAGAUGCAGAUGAUCAGCUGCCAGCUGGCCAGGUAGUAGAUCUUAUUCCUGUUGCAUUCCUGUGGACACUGUGGAGAGAACAACUG
rnacentral:lncRNA from 1 species